UAUAGAGAGCAAGGAUGAAAGAAAGGGAGAAAUAGAAUUAAAUAAAGAAGAGAAAAAUAGAGGAACAGACGACUAAAGAGAAGUGGCAGCCCAAUACAAAUUUUAGGAAACUUUAGUGGGCCGUCCUCGUGAGUCAACACGCUCACUGGUGUUCUCCCUCAGCAGGUGUGUGAAUGCAAUGGACCUGAAAGACGUUAAUUGGUGAACCAAUUCUUACUAUGUAAAAUCAAUCAAUCAGUCAAUCAGAGAAAGAAAAUAUAAUUAAAAUGAAAAAUUGGAAGUAAGAAAGAAAAGGGAAAAGGAUGCUGCGCCGGAAGCCGCGGCGAGGAUUCCUUGCUUGUGCGCGUCCCCGAGGCCCAUUGGUUCUUCAUCCAAGAACCGAUAAACGCGGUGACCGGCGCCUUCGCGGCAUUUAUGAUUAAUUUUAUAAUCCAGUCUGGUAGUUUUAAGAAGCGAGUUCUUGCAUCCGCCCUCUUCGAAUCGGCGGGGCGGUGGAGCGCCAGCGAGCCCAAGGUCUCCCAGGCGAGCAUGGCAGGACUGGAGGGCUCCCGGCAGGGCGCCUCGGCGUCCAUCGGGAUCCCGACGGAGGUGCCGGAGAUCUUUCGGCUACAACGCCGGGCAGGUGGGGCUCGUUAGCCGUGGUGGGCAGUUCACCUAGGAGAGCAAACUCCGAACAACAAACCAGGGCAGGUGAGGUUCGUUAGCCGUGGUAGGCAAUUCACCUAGGAGAGCAAACUCCGAACAACAAACCAGGGCAGGUGAGGCUCGUUAGCCGUGGUAGGCAGUUCACCUAGGAGAGCAAACUCCGAACAACAAACCAGGGCAGGUGAGGUUCGUUAGCCGUGGUAGGCAAUUCACCUAGGAGAGCAAACUCCGAACAAUAAACCCGGGCAGGUGGAGCUCGUCAGCCGUGGUAGGCAGUCUGCCUAGGAGAGCAAACUCCGAACAAUAAACCCGGGCAGGUGGAGCUCGUCAGCCGUGGUAGGCAGUCUGCCUAGGAGAGCAAACUCCGAACAAUAAACCCGGGCAGGUGUAGCUCGUCAGCCGUGGUAGGCAGUCUGCCUAGGAGAGCAAACUCCGAACAAUAAACCCGGGCAGGUGUAGCUCGUCAGCCGUGGUAGGCAGUCUGCCUAGGAGAGCAAACUCCGAACAAUAAACCGGGGCUUGUGGUGCUCGUUAGAUGUCGUAGACAAUCCACGUGAUGGGAACACCAAAGAAAAGGAAAAUAAAAAGGAACACCAGAAAAAUGAAAAUAUAGUAACAAAACAUCAAGAAAAUAAAAUAAAAACACAGAUCAUCCACCUUCAGGCCCUAACGUACAUCUCCAAAAUUAUGGGUGAGUCUUUUCUGGGGAGAAAGAGGCUCAUCCAGACCAAAGAACAUAAAAAAGGGAUGAUAUAGAAAGGAACACCAAAAAAUGGGAAAAAGAGAAAAAAAAACAUCGCAAAAGAAAAGUAACAACAAUAACAGAACAAUGCCAAGAAAAGUAACAUACAAAGAAACAUCAUCCACCAUUCGGCCCCAAACUAUAACAUCACCAAAAUUAUGGAUGGGUCUUUUCUGGGGAGAAAGAGGCUCACCCAGACCAAAGAACAUCAAAGAGGGAUGAUAUAGAAAAGAACACCAAAAAAUAGGGGAAAAAAGAGCAAAAAAACAUCGCAAAAGAAAAGUAACAGCAAUAACAACAACAUCAAGAAAAGUAACAUACAAAGAAACAUCAUCCACCAUUCGGCCCCAGACUAACCACCAAAAUUAUGGGUGGGUCUCUUCUGGGAGGAAAGCGGCUCACCCAGACCAACGAAGAACAUCAACAAGAGGAUGAUAUGAAAUAAAAGAACAUUAAAAAACACGAAGAAAAGAAAUAAGAAGAAAAAGAACAGAAAAAAACAUCGGAAAAGAAAAACAAGAAGAAAAACACAUCAAGAGAAGAAAAACAUAAUAAACAUCAUCCACCUUUCGGCCCCUAACUAACAUCAAAAUUAUGGGUGGGUCUCUUCUGGGAGGAAAGCGGCUCACCCAGACCAAUGAACAUCAACAAGAGGAUGACAUGCAAAAAAGAACAUCAAAAAAGAAAAACAACAGCAAGAAAACAAAGAAAAAGAUAAAGAAAAGAAAAGGGAAAAGAAACAAAAAGAAAAAGAAAAACACCAAAAUAAAAUAAAACAAAAACAAAAAAAUAAUCCAAAUAAAUAAAAAAAUAAAAAAAUACAGAA